UGAUCUGGCGGGCACACAGUGCAAUGUGAAAGCAGGUGUGCGUGCACACCCACACCCGCAUGCCCACACAUCCAUACAGUCCACACCAUCACACACACACACCCACACACAUCCAUACAGUCCAUACCAUCACACACACCCGCACACAUCCAUACAGUCCACACCAUCACACACACACCCGCACACAUCCAUACAGUCCACACCGUCUCACACACACACCCGCACACAUCCAUACAGUCCACACCGUCUCACACACACACCUGCACACAUCCAUACAGUCCACACCAUAACACACACACACAUCUAUACAGUCCACACCGUCACACACACACACAUCUAUACAGUCC
rnacentral:lncRNA from 1 species